rnacentral:lncRNA from 11 species
UGUCAGCAUCUCCAGUGAUGUGUGCUGAAUAAAUACUAAAAUGACAGCCACUUACACACUUGACUGUGAUUACAGUCAAGCUAGGCUAAAUGCUGCAGUUUCAAUAUUAGUAACAAGGAGAUCCCCGUAUUGCCAGAAUAUCCCUUCUUCAAUAGCAGGUGCUGAGGCCUAGUGCCUUGUCACAGGUGAAAAUACAGAGGGGUCUGGAGCAGCAUCCUUCAACAGAAAACAACGUGGCUCAUGUGUAGGGUGUUCUGAAUGCUUCCCCGCCCACUGUACAACUCUGAAUUGGCUCCCUGAGAUUACUUUCCCAAAACUCAAACCCCACAUCAAAGAACAUCAUUUUGUAACAGUUGAAACAUUCAAGCAGCUACAAGAGCUUUGAAUAGCAUUUCAAGUAAAGACUUCCUCCACUGCUAUGAAGACUGACAGCAAUGCCAACUCCCUGGAUUCUAUCACAAGGAACCUAUUUUGAAGAAGACAAACUGUAAUUUGUUCAAUAAAAAAUCUUUCUCACAGGCCACAU